GACGUAGGGCGCGAGCGUUGUCCGGAUUUAUUGGGCGUAAAGAGCGUGUAGGCGGCCAUGUAGGUCCGGUGUGAAAACUCGAGGCUUAACCUCGAGAUGUCAUCGGAAACCAUUUGGCUAGAGUCCGGAAGAGGAGAGUGGAAUUCCUGGUGUAGCGGUGAAAAUGCGCAGAUAUCAGGAAGAACACCAAUGGCGAAAAGCAGCUCUCUGGGACGGUACUGACGCUGAGACGCGAAAAGCGUGGGGGAGCGAACAGG
rnacentral:rRNA from 1 species